AUCUCAGUUCAGAUUGCAGGCUGCAACUCGCCUGCAUGAAGUCGGAAUUGCUAGUAAUCGUAGGUCAGCAUACUACGGUGAAUACGUUCCCGGGCCUUGUACACACCGCCCGUCAAACCAUGAGAGUUGGCAACACCCGAAGUCGGUAGUCUAACCGCAAGGAGGACGCAGCCGAAGGUGGGGUUGAUGAUUAGGGUUAAGUCGUAACAAGGUACC
rnacentral:rRNA from 1 species